ACGAACGCUGGCGGCGUGCUUAACACAUGCAAGUCGAACGGAAAGGCCCGCUUGCGGGUACUCGAGUGGCGAACGGGUGAGUAACACGUGGGCAACCUGCCCUCAGCUUUGGGAUAACUCCCGGAAACGGGUGCUAAUACCGAAUAUUGACAUUUCCUCGCAUGGGGGUUUGUUGAAAGUUUUUUCGGCUGGGGAUGGGCCCGCGGCCUAUCAGCUUGUUGGUGGGGUGAUGGCCUACCAAGGCGACGACGGGUAGCCGGCCUGAGAGGGCGACCGGCCACACUGGAACUGAGACACGGUCCAGACUCCUACGGGAGGCAGCAGUGGGGAAUAUUGCGCAAUGGGCGGAAGCCUGACGCAGCGACGCCGCGUGAGGGAUGACGGUCUUCGGAUUGUAAACCUCUUUCAGUAGGGACGAAUGUAGACGGUACCUGCAGAAGAAGCACCGGCCAACUACGU
rnacentral:rRNA from 1 species